AUGCAGAUCUUCGUGAAGACACUCACCGGCAAGAUCAUCACGCUUGAGGUCGAGUCCUCUGACACAGUCAACAAUGUGAAGGCGAUGUUCCAGGAUAAGGAGGGUAUCCCGGUGGACCAGCAGCGCCUCAUCUUUGCUCGCAAGCAGCUUGAGGAUGACCGGACACUUGAUUACAAUAUACAGAAGGAGUCCACCCUCCACCUGGUGCUCAGGCUCAGGGAUAUCCAGAUCUUUUUGAUGACAAUCACUGGCAAGAUCAUCAUGUUUGAGCUUGAGUCCUCCGACACAAUGGAUAAUAAGGCGAAGAUCCAGGAUAAGGAGGGUAUCCCGCCGGACCAGCAGGGCCUCAUCUUUGCUGGCAAGCAACUGGAAGAUGGCCGGACCCUGGGCGAAUAUAACAUCCAGAAGGAGUCGACACUCCACCUUGUGUUGAGGCUUAUGCAAAUCUUCAUUGAGUUUAAGACCCUCACUAGCAAGACAAUCACCCUUGAGGUCGAGUCUUUUGACACGAUUGACAAUGUCAAAGCAAAGAUCAGGGACAAGGAGUGCAUCCCUCCAGACCAGCAGUGGUUGAUAUUUGCCUGCAAGCAACUCGACGACGGAUGCACCCUUGCCGAUUACAACAUUCAGAAGGAGUCUAUACUCUACUUGGUGCUCUGUCUUCGUGGUGGCCAGCAGAUCUUUGUGAAGACACUCACUGGCAAGACCAUCACUAUCGAGGUUGAGUCUUCCAACACAAUCGACAAUGUCAAAGCGAGGAUCCAGGAUAAGGGGGGCAUACCACCGGACCAUCAGCGCCUAAUCUUUGCAGGCAAGCAGUUUGAGGAUGGACGCACCCUUGAUGAUUACAACAUUCAGAAGGAGUCUACUCUCCACCUGGUGCUCCGCCUUCGUGGUGGCCAGUGA
rnacentral:rRNA from 1 species